rnacentral:rRNA from 1 species
UACGUAGGGCGCAAGCGUUGUCCGGAAUUAUUGGGCGUAAAGAGCUCGUAGGCGGUUUGUCGCGUCUGCUGUGAAAACCUGAGGCUCAACCUCGGGCUUGCAGUGGGUACGGGCAGACUAGAGUGCGGUAGGGGUGACUGGAAUUCCUGGUGUAGCGGUGGAAUGCGCAGAUAUCAGGAGGAACACCUAUAGCGAAGGCAGCUCGCUGGGACGACACUGACGCUGAGACGCGAAAGCGUGGGGAGCGAACAGG